rnacentral:rRNA from 1 species
GAUGAACGCUAGCUACAGGCUUAACACAUGCAAGUCGAGGGGAAACGAUAUUGGAAGCUUACUUCCGAUAGGCGUCGACCGGCGCACGGGUGAGUAACGCGUAUCCAACCUGCCCACCACUUGGGGAUAACCUUGCGAAAGUAAGACUAAUACCCAAUGAUAUCUCUAGAAGACAUCUGAAAGAGAUUAAAGAUUUAUCGGUGAUGGAUGGGGAUGCGUCUGAUUAGCUUGUUGGCGGGGUAACGGCCCACCAAGGCGACGAUCAGUAGGGGUUCUGAGAGGAAGGUCCCCCACAUUGGAACUGAGACACGGUCCAAACUCCUACGGGAGGCAGCAGUGAGGAAUAUUGGUCAAUGGCCGCGAGGCUGAACCAGCCAAGUAGCGUGCAGGAAGACGGCCCUAUGGGUUGUAAACUGCUUUUGCAGGGGAUAAAGUAUGCCACGUGUGGUGUUUUGCAUGUACCCUGCGAAUAAGGAUCGGCUAAAUUCCCGUGCCAGCAGCC